ensembl:lncRNA
CCAUAAUAAAGGCCAUAUAUGAUAAACCCAGGGCUUCCCAGGUGGCAGUAGUGGUAAAGAACCUGCCUGCCAAUGAGGAGACAUAGAGACAUGAGUUCAAUCCCUGGGUCAGAAAGAUUCCCCUGGGGGAGGGCGUGGCAACCCACUCCAGUAUUCUUGCCAGGAAAAUCCCAUGGACAGAGGAGCCUGGCAGGCUAAACUCCACAGGGUCAUAAAGGGUCAGACACGACCCAAGCAUCUUAGCACACAAUGCAUGAUAAACGCAUAGCCAACAUCAUACUCCUCUUCUUUAAGGCCAUCUGCUUAGCUGUGACUCCCCUGAAGAAUCAGAGCCUCUUGACUUGAAAAAAAUCUCAGAAGAUUAUCUAGUCCACCCCUUAUUCCAAGGAGGUUUCUGCAUGAUGAAGGAUGGGUGGAGAUGGUCAGAAAGGAAAGGAAGGCAAGAAGUUGGUAGAGAAGGAGCAGAGAGUGAGACUAUGUGCAGUAUAUCAACACACUGCUUAUCUCAAAGCCUAACAUUGAAGAUCCAAAGAGAUAAAAUAAUGGCCAUACUGUGCUUAGUUGCUCAAUCAUGCCUAACUCUUUGCGACCCCAUAGUCUGUAACCCACCAGGCUCCUCUGCCCUUGGGGAUUCUCCAGGCAAGAAUACUGGAGUGUGUUACCAUGCCCUCCUCCAGAGGAUCUCAAGCCAGGGAUGGAACCCAGGUCUCCCUCAUUGCAGUCUUCAUCAGAGCUGCAGCUUUCCAGAUGAGUCACUUUUUCACAACUGAUACUGUCAUCUUUAACUACGUGAAGAUGGAGAGAGUAGCAGGAGCGGAUCUGGUCAUUGUGACGUGAGCUUCCUAGUUGAUGUCUUUGUAAAGAUGUUUUCAGAGCAAAGUUAAAUUUUAUAAUUGGGAAGCUAUGAAACUCUUCUGAAAUUGCUGUCUAGUCAUUGUACUGAGAACAGGAAUCCCAUUUUUCAAAGUACAGUGCGGACAACAGAGUACAAAGGUUAAGGGGAGAGAUACCUUGAGAAGCCUCCCUCAUAGUCGUAUAAAAAUGACAAGUACAUGAAGGUGGGAAAAAAAAUUCUUUUUGUAGAAAAUGUUAUUCCAAAAAUGGAUUUUUCCCUGGGCAAGCUGUGCCAGUUGCCCCUCACACGGUGCAUGGUGCCUGGGGAAGAUGCUCUCCUUUUCAUCACUCUUUUGUCAUUGAAAUCUGCCUUCUUGAUUGCCCCUUCCUCUAAGUCUGGAUUCAGGUAAGGGAUGAAUUCGAACUCCGCCAUGUUCUAUUGAGAGAUGAAAGGUUAAGUGAAAAGUGAGUGCAUUGAGAGGGUGUGGGAGAAAAUUUUAUUAGGAACCAUAAAAUUAUGAACAUAAUUAUGCCUCAUAGAGUUCCAGCAUGUUGUAUCUAAACUGCAUUUGACUAGUUCUUUAUAUUAUUUAUAUUUGUUAUUACAAAUUGAUCCUGAAUAAUAUCAAUUUCUUAAUAAAGAAUUGUAGAGCUGAAUCUAUUUCAUU